rnacentral:rRNA from 1 species
CGGGGGCCCGCACAAGCGGUGGAGCAUGUGGUUUAAUUCGAAGCAACGCGAAGAACCUUACCAGGUCUUGACAUCCUUUGACCACUCUAGAGAUAGAGCUUCCCCUUCGGGGGGCAAAGUGACAGGUGGUGCAUGGUUGUCGUCAGCUCGUGUCGUGAGAUGUUGGGUUAAGUCCCGCAACGAGCGCAACCCUUAUUGUUAGUUGCCAUCAUUCAGUUGGGCACUCUAGCAAGACUGCCGGUGACAAACCGGAGGAAGGUGGGGAUGACGUCAAAUCAUCAUGCCCCUUAUGACCUGGGCUACACACGUGCUACAAUGGGAAGUACAACGAGUUGCGAAGUCGCGAGGCUAAGCUAAUCUCUUAAAGCUUCUCUCAGUUCGGAUUGCAGGCUGCAACUCGCCUGCAUGAAGCCGGAAUCGCUAGUAAUCGCGGAUCAGCACGCCGCGGUGAAUACGUUCCCGGGCCUUGUACACACCGCCCGUCACACCACGAGAGUUUGUAACACCCGAAGUCGGUGAGGUAACCUUUUGGAGCCAGCCGCCUAAGGUGGGAUAGAUGAUUGGGGUGAAGUCGUAACAAGGUAGCCGUAUCGGAAGGUGCGGCUG